rnacentral:lncRNA from 1 species
UCUGUGUAUUGUAGGCAGAGUUUACAUAAGGCAUAAUGCAUCCCUACUUCAACACAGCUGAAUCAUGUGGUUGGAUUACCUCUUCAGCAUGCCAUCAAGUUUGGCAAAGGCCUGGUAACAAGCCAUUCAUUUGAUUCAGGUGUGUCGGAACAAGGAUGCAUCUAAAAGCUGCAGGACAGUAGCUCUCAAGGACUGUAGUUGGCCACCUCUGACAUAAGGUAUCGAAAGUAAAGAACUGGCCCCCAUCAGUGUUAUAGGAUUUAAUACUACUGCUACAGAUUUUUAAGGCUAAGCACAGUUUUUGUUACCAACAUCAAAAUGCAAACCCCAGACAAAUUCCAAAGGAAUCCAAGCCAAGCAGAGUUAAGCCUCUUUCCAGAAACAAUAGCCAGCUGGAGACACAAGAUGGCAGUAACUUAAAGGAUGGAUGCAAGCAGAAAGGAGAAACUUCCACAUAAGUCCAGAUGCAGGUCCUCUCAGUGAGGAUCACCUGUCCAUUGUCUUCCAUGUUUCCACCUCAGACAUCAUGAACCUGACGGUAAUGCGUACGUUCAGGUCAAAUACAGAGUUAAAAGUAUUUGAAAUUUUG